rnacentral:misc_RNA from 1 species
GAUGUUCAAUGUGAUAGUAUAUAUGACGUAAGUUAUGGAAAGUUGCUGUGUUUGGUGGGGUGGGUUGGGGUGUGGUGAUUGAGGGGCGGUUAAACGUUAGUCUGGUUGACAGUGCUGAUGUGUGCACACAUGUUAUCGAAUACAAAUGUAUAUAACUGAAUAUACAACCUUGACUCGAGACAUUGUUGUGUCAUCACUGGGCUGUAAUACGAUCUUACAAAGUUGGCAAAGCGGGAGUAUCAGUUAAAAAUAAAGUAUGUCAUUCCGCUUGGAUGGCCAGUCCCUGGUGUGCUGUUUGUUUGACAUGCCCUUUCUGCUUGAGAAAUCAGGACUACCCUUAAUCUUCUUCAAGGUGUACAGCUACAUGUAAGAAUCUACGUUUUGACACAUUCACAUUCACACAUUGAGCAUGGGAGUUCAAACAAGUGCUUCAGAGAUUAGAACGUUUAUGAUACAGCCUUCAUAGAAAUUGAAUGUACUUAACAUUUGUUGAUGUGCACUCUAGUCCUCCAUCACUUAGAAUUAUAAGCAGCAUAUAGUUGUCAUAUUUUAAAUUUCCUGACAGACAAUAUGCACUCAUGGUAAGGGGAUAUGAAGUCAAACCAAAGGGGCGACUACAACAGACGUCAUGUCUGGCUUAUUCAUCAUUUUUUUAAACAAAUGAUAUUUCAUCUUUACCUCGUUAUAAAAUUACAUAAACUCUGUAGUUUUUACCGAAAAAAGUAUUCGAAUAAUAAAACUAGUGGCAUAGAUCCACAUCUGACACCAAAACAAGUAUUUUUGAUAAAUAGUGUUCUUUCAUAACAUACAUGUAAGAACAAAGAACUAAAGUUUUAAAAACACUGGUCAUGAUUCGUUGCACCAGUGACUGUAAUUUAUCCCAGUAAGCAGAUAGGUCUUGUCAUAUCACGGUAUCAUUCUAAGUAAUGAUAGGAACCAGGAACAGACCACGGAGAGGAUGAUUUACAAGCGCUUCAGUUUGGUGGUUCUUUUGACGGUGCUGCAGAGUGGCAUGGGUGAAGACUACUUGGUGGCUGUGGCAUAUAAAGGCAAAGACUCGUACAUCAGGUACACAGCUGGAGAAACCGGGGGCCUGGUGGAGAUACAGUAUCCACACUUCGCCUAUAGAACAUCCUGUGAUCUCUUCAGUUGUAGUUCCCACAGUGUAAGCGAAAAGAUGCAAAUCACGAACGUUCUAGAAAAUGUAGCUAUCGUCGUAAGCGGAAGUGACGAAAAUGUAAACAUUCUGGUAGACGCUGAUGGUGUAUUCUCUCCUCUUCCCAUAUCUGCCCUUGGGACCAAGUACAUUGUACCUUCAAGUCUCGCACCUAACAGUAGUUAUCGAUCCUUGCUACUGAUAGCUACACACAACAUGAGCACUAAUGUUGACAUAAUCUUUCAAAUGGAAAAAGGAAGUGUUAACUUUGUCAAUUACGAAUAUGGUGACGGCGAUACUCUAUCCCUUAAACUUGACCCAUAUCAAACGUUGAUGAUAAACACCCCACAUGAUCUGAAUGGUACAGUAAUUAACAGUGAACACAGUGUGGCCGUCUACAGUGGUAUAGACUUUGCCUCUAAGUACACAGUGUAUGACCAACUAUUGCCUGUCAAGCACCACGGACAGGAGUAUGUUGUUGCUAUAGAUGAGACCAAACUGGAGCUGCAGAUCAUCAGUGAACACAGCCACGUGCAGAUCACGUUCAGUACCGGGGCCACAGUCUCUACUGGUGAGCGUCGUCUCUAUAACCGCUCACUUGAACAGGGAGAGAGUCUUCACUUCACCACCACACACCCAGUACUGGUGACACUCAGUAGAGCAGAUGGUUACAGCAGUGUCUUCACAACUGUACCACCUGUACACUCUUACGUCACACACAGGGGUGUCUUGCUUCAAGGCAAAAAUCUUACAAAAACAUUAAAGAUAAUAACUGUGAGGACAGCGAAUGUGUUGAUUAAAAAGAAACAACUAAACGAUCUUCUGACAUGGAUGGAUGUACCGGGCAGCAGAUACAAAGUUGGCACAGUGAAGUCAACCAGGCGGUAUACAGAUGAAAAUACGUUCAUUUCUAGCGAUAUCCCCUUCACAGGUCUGUCGUUUUAUAACGGAUCGGUCAAUAACAUCGGCUACAAUUUGUCUGCAGAGGGGGAAGUACACUAUACAGGUGAAAGUUACUUGAUGGCAGUGGCGGGAUACAAUCCCUCCCUCGACUUUCGCCCGCGGAUACUCGCCACUGCUGGGGAGACAGGAGGCCAUUGGCAGGUACAGGAUCCCAUCUCCGGGCGCGUCUGGUCUCGACGCUUCAAUCCUUACAACACAGACUACUUUUAUCCUAAUACCACAACAACCAAGGUAGUGCUUGUGCAUGUGAGAGAUGAGGCUAUUCAGAUCAGUGGCGAAAUGACAUUUUACUCACAAUUCUCUCCCCUUCCUGUGUCAGCGCUAGGCACCAAGUACAUCAUUUCCUCCUGUCUUCCCACUGACAACAUGUAUAGAAGCACAGAGUACAAAGCAGUCUUAGUGAUAGCCACACACAGCAGGGAGGUAGAUGUUGACAUUAUCUUCAGAUUGGAGGGCAACGUCACCUAUGACGACAGGACGUACAGCAACGGGGACACCCUCAGUAUCAGAUUAGAUAAGUAUCAGACUCUCUCCAUAAACAGUUCAUCUGAUAUGACCAGAACCAUUGUUAAUGCCACGGAAACAAUAGCCGUCUAUAGUGGAACAUACGAAAUGAACUACAAUGUCAUCGCUACCUACGAGCAGUUACUGCCUGUGAAACAUUAUGGCAGUGAGUAUAUUCUCGCUAUCCAAGAUACGUCUCAUUAUCGCAACAGUUCCCUGCCAUACCAACUUCAAGUUGUUAGUGACCAUAGUCACACAAGCAUCAUGUUUAAUAACGGUUCUACCGUCUCUGUGGGUAAACAUGGACUGUACAGUAAACAAUGUGGACGUUUUGAAACAUUUUACUUCAGCACCACAAGACCAACCAUGGUUACAUUGUGUACUAUUGGGACGCGUUAUAAUUUUGCGCCUGAUGGGUUAAUUGUUGUACCACCAGUAACCCUCUACUCUAAACAAACAACCCUACAAGCCCAAGGCACCAGGGCAAUAUUGACAGAUAAAGACAACAACAAUUUACACGUUCAAGAAAUCCCAAACACUCUCUCUACAGUUUUCACUCCCCCGAUAAAGUGGAAGGAAGUUCCAGGUACAAGAUACAAAGUGGGAACAUUACAAAGUGGUCAACACAUAACAGCAAUUCGUUCUAAUUCUUACUUUGCUAUCCUUGGAUACGAUACAUUUGCCAUAUACAACGGAGGAUACAAUUUUAGGACACAUCUUGAUGCAGAUGGAAAUGGAAAUGGAAACAAGUUGACUACAGAUGAUUCUUUCCAAGAUUUCCCAAACAUAUCUUGAUGCGGCCAUAACAGCAACCCGUUUCUGAGCAGAUCAUAAACGUCACCACCUUCACAGCUUUGCAAUUAUCAGUGCUACAACAGCUUUGUGAAACUAGACCAAGGAGUGAUUGAAUAGCUCUGCCCGAGACACUAAUAAAUCCCAGACUUUUUUUUAAGAAGGACAGGUUACAAAAGCAAAAUUCAGAACCGGACAACGCGGCACUGGUCGUGGAAAUAAUCUAUGGGAUUGUUGUUGUGGCUCUCCUGGUCGUCUUUAUGGCAUAUUUGUUCUAUACCCGGGGGAGGAGGAUGCCA